AGAGUUUGAUCAUGGCUCAGGAUGAACGCUGGCGGCGUGCUUAACACAUGCAAGUCGAACGAAGCAUAUUGAACAGAAUACUUCGGUAGGAAGACUGAUAUGACUGAGUGGCGGACGGGUGAGUAACGCGUGGGUAACCUACCUCAUACAGGGGGAUAACAGACAGAAAUGUCUGCUAAUACCGCAUAAGACCACAGCACUGCAUGGUGCAGUGGUAAAAACUCCGGUGGUAUGAGAUGGACCCGCGUCUGAUUAGCUAGUUGGUGAGGUAACGGCUCACCAAGGCAACGAUCAGUAGCCGGCCUGAGAGGGUGAACGGCCACAUUGGGACUGAGACACGGCCCAAACUCCUACGGGAGGCAGCAGUGGGGAAUAUUGCACAAUGGGGGAAACCCUGAUGCAGCGACGCCGCGUGAAGGAAGAAGUAUUUCGGUAUGUAAACUUCUAUCAGCAGGGAAGAAAAUGACGGUACCUGACUAAGAAGCCCCGGCUAACUACGUGCCAGCAGCCGCGGUAAUACGUAGGGGGCAAGCGUUAUCCGGAUUUACUGGGUGUAAAGGGAGCGUAGACGGAGAGGCAAGUCUGAUGUGAAAGGCCAGGGCUCAACCCUGGGACUGCAUUGGAAACUGUUUUUCUAGAGUGUCGGAGAGGCAAGUGGAAUUCCUAGUGUAGCGGUGAAAUGCGUAGAUAUUAGGAGGAACACCAGUGGCGAAGGCGGCUUGCUGGACGAUGACUGACGUUGAGGCUCGAAAGCGUGGGGAGCAAACAGGAUUAGAUACCCUGGUAGUCCACGCCGUAAACGAUGACUACUAGGUGUCGGGUAGCAAAGCUAUUCGGUGCCGCAGCACACGCAAUAAGUAGUCCA
rnacentral:rRNA from 1 species